rnacentral:pre_miRNA from 1 species
AAACGCCACUGUGUACUAUGGCUUUUUAUUCCUAUGUGAUGAUGAAAGGUAUUCGUGUAGGAACAGAAGCCAUUUUACACACGGUGAGAG